rnacentral:lncRNA from 1 species
AAGGAAAGUGAGGAACCUGGAGACGGGCGAGUGAGGAAUGAAGACAGAGACCAGGCAGAGAUACACACGAGAGUGUAUUUGUCAGAGAUUUGGGACUUUCAAGGAGCAGGCUCAGGUAUUAGAGCCGGGUGGGUCCUAAUGCAGGCGGUUAAAGGUGGGGUUGGUAUGAGGGUGUGGGGAGUCUUUCUCAGAAACUCCCUUGGACAGGAAAGUGAAAUUUUUUAAAAAAUGAUGGCUGUCACUUAAGAUGGCUGUACAGAUGCUAAGCAAGGACCUUACAGACACUAGCAUACCAAGUCAGGUGGAGAGCAUCGGGGUGGCAAAAGUGAAAGAGGCUCCCCUUUAUCCAAUGUUUGUAAUAAUAGAAAUAAAAAGUUAUGUUAUCGAGGAUGGCACUACUGAGCAGAUCAUGACAUAAGUGUCACGUUGGCAUCUCCAGGAAACCCUACUGUGUUUCUCUGGUAGGUUCUCUCUCCCACACCCCUUUGCAUAUUUCACACCUGUUGCUACCACUUCCCCAUAGCGUGCAUAUAAACUGUUUUGCUUCCCUAAACUUACAUAUCGCAUCAAAUUUUAUUUAUAAAAGAAAGCCUUCCAGGC